AUUGAACGCUGGCGGCAGGCCUAACACAUGCAAGUCGAGCGGAUGAGAGGAGCUUGCUCUUCGAUUCAGCGGCGGACGGGUGAGUAAUGCCUAGGAAUCUGCCUAGUAGUGGGGGACAACGUUUCGAAAGGAACGCUAAUACCGCAUACGUCCUACGGGAGAAAGUGGGGGAUCUUCGGACCUCACGCUAUUAGAUGAGCCUAGGUCGGAUUAGCUAGUUGGUAGGGUAACGGCCUACCAAGGCGACGAUCCGUAACUGGUCUGAGAGGAUGAUCAGUCACACUGGAACUGAGACACGGUCCAGACUCCUACGGGAGGCAGCAGUGGGGAAUAUUGGACAAUGGGCGAAAGCCUGAUCCAGCCAUGCCGCGUGUGUGAAGAAGGCCCUCGGGUCGUAAAGCACUUUAAGUUGGGAGGAAGGGCUUACAGCGAAUACCUGUGAGUUUUGACGUUACCGACGGAAUAAGCACCGGCUAACUUCGUGCCAGCAGCCGCCGCGG
rnacentral:rRNA from 1 species